CAGCCCGGGAGGGACCGCUAGGGAAGGGAAGUCCAGAGGAAAAAGGAUAUCAAAGUCCAGCUGUCCAGUGUCAUCACAUUCAGAUUCUGCCAUGACCUGUGCACAACACACACUCUACGACUCCAAAGGCCCGGAGAUUGGGAUGCCAAGAUUCACCAUGUGAGUAUGUUUUGCCAUUUGAAACACAA